GCGAGCAUGGUCUAGUGGUUAUGACGCCUGCUUUACACGCAGGAGAUCCCGAGUUCGAUCCUCGGUGCUCGUA
rnacentral:tRNA from 1 species